rnacentral:rRNA from 1 species
UUGACCUCUAAUCAGGUAGGACUACCCGCUGAACUUAAGCAUAUCAAUAAGCGGAGGAAAAGAAACUAACAAGGAUUCCCCUAGUAACUGCGAGUGAAGCGGGAAGAGCUCAAUUUUGUAUCUGGCUGUCUUUGGCAGUCCGAGUUGUAAUCUAGAGAAGUGUCUUCCGCGCUGACGCGUAUAG